rnacentral:rRNA from 1 species
CAGUCGCCGCGGUAAUACGUAGGUGGCAAGCGUUGUCCGGAAUUAUUGGGCGUAAAGGGCUCGCAGGCGGUUUCUUAAGUCUGAUGUGAAAGCCCCCGGCUCAACCGGGGAGGGUCAUUGGAGACUGGGAAACUUGAGUGCAGAAGAGGAGAGUGGAAUUCCACGUGUAACGGUGAAAUGCGUAGAGAUGUGGAGGAACACCAGUGGCGAAGGCGACUCUCUGGUCUGUAACUGACGCUGAGGAGCGAAAGCGUGGGGAGCGAACAGGAUUAGAUACCCCAGUAGUCCCUGUCUCUUAUAC